GAUGAACGCUGGCGGCGUGCCUAAUACAUGCAAGUCGAGCGAACAGAUGAGGAGCUUGCUCCUCUGACGUUAGCGGCGGACGGGUGAGUAACACGUGGAUAACCUACCUAUAAGACUGGGAUCACUUCGGGAAACCGGAUCUAAUACCGGAUAAUAUAUUGAACCGCAUGGUUCAAUAGUGAAAGACGGUUUUGCUGUCACUUAUAGAUGGAUCCGCGCCGCAUUAGCUAGUUGGUAAGGUAACGGCUUACCAAGGCAACGAUGCGUAGCCGACCUGAGAGGGUGAUCGGCCACACUGGAACUGAGACACGGUCCAGACUCCUACGGGAGGCAGCAGUAGGGAAUCUUGCGCAAUGGGCGAAAGCCUGACGGAGCAACGCCGCGUGAGUGAUGAAGGUCUUCGGAUCGUAAAACUCUGUUAUUAGGGAAGAACAAAUGUGUAAGUAACUAUGCACGUCUUGACGGUACCUAAUCAGAAAGCCACGGCUAACUACGUG
rnacentral:rRNA from 1 species